ACAGUACAAACUGAGCAGGCGAUGAACCGGAGACGGUCAUGGGGCCGGGCCGUGAAAGCGGCAGCAGAUUGUGAACACGCACAUCUGUGGGACAGU
rnacentral:ncRNA from 1 species